GGCGGCGUAGAGUAAUAGAAACUCGUCGGACUCCUAAUGCAAUAGCAUGGAGGCAAGCCGAAGAUUCCGGGUGCAAGUCCCGGCGUCGUCU